UACAGAGGUCUCAAGCGUUGUUCGGAUUCAUUGGGCGUAAAGGGCGCGUAGGCGGCGCGGUAAGUCGGGUGUGAAAUCUUGGAGCUUAACUCCGAGACUGCAUUCGAUACUGCCGUGCUUGAGGACUGGAGAGGAGACUGGAAUUUACGGUGUAGCGGUGAAAUGCGUAGAUAUCGGAAGGAAGACCAGUGGCGAAGGCGGGUCUCUGGACAGUUCCUGACGCUGAGGCACGAAGGCCAGGGGAGCAAACGGG
rnacentral:rRNA from 1 species